AUGGCCUGCACCCACCUCGCCGCCGCCUCGUCACCGGCGACCACCGCCGCCGCGCUGCGUGCACGGGCGACGGCCCCCGCCGCCGGUUUCGCGCGCCUUCCUGCCACCCUCCAUCCUGAGAACGGUGGGCUGGCCCUCAGGGGUAGGAGGGCGGUCACGCCCGUGGUCCUCGCCGCCGGGCCGGCCGCCGCGGCGCCGGUGGCCGACCGUGACGGAACACCGGCCGCGGUGAAGCAGCCCAUCAUCGUCAUCGACAACUAUGAUAGCUUUACCUACAACCUGUGCCAGUAUAUGGGGGAGCUUGGAUUAAAUUUUGAGGUGUACCGUAAUGAUGAACUUACCAUAGAGGAGGUAAAGAGGAUGAAACCACGAGGAAUACUUAUUUCACCAGGGCCUGGUGAACCGCAAGAUUCAGGUAUAUCAUUGCAGACUGUUCUGGAACUUGGGCCAACCAUCCCAAUAUUCGGAGUUUGCAUGGGUCUGCAGUGCAUUGGAGAGGCAUUUGGAGGGAAGAUUAUCCGCGUUCCUUCUGGUGUGAUGCAUGGAAAAAGCUCUCCAGUUUACUAUGACGAAGUUCUAGGAAAGUCCAUAUUCGAGGGCUUGUCAAACCCUUUUACCGCCGCAAGAUAUCAUAGCUUGGUCAUCGAGGAGGAAACCUUCCCGCACGAUGAACUGGAAGUCACGGCAUGGACUGAAGAUGGACUUGUCAUGGCUGCUCGCCACAAGAAGUACACGCAUAUCCAGGGUGUUCAGUUCCACCCAGAGAGCAUCAUCACCCCUGAAGGCAAGAAAAUCAUCCUCAACUUUGCGAGAUAUGUCGAGGAGUUUGAGAAGCAGACCUCCGAGGGGAAGUAG
rnacentral:rRNA from 1 species